UAACUGGGGCGGUUGCCUCCUAAAGAGUAACGGAGGCGCCCAAAGGUUCCCUCAGCCUGGUUGGUAAUCAGGUGUUGAGUGUAAGUGCACAAGGGAGCUUGACUGUGAGACCGACGGGUCGAGCAGGGACGAAAGUCGGGACUAGUGAUCCGGCGGUGGCUUGUGGAAGCGCCGUCGCUCAACGGAUAAAAGGUACCCCGGGGAUAACAGGCUGAUCUUCCCCAAGAGUCCAUAUCGACGGGAUGGUUUGGCACCUCGAUGUCGGCUCGUCGCAUCCUGGGGCUGGAGUCGGUCCCAAGGGUUGGGCUGUUCGCCCAUUAAAGCGGUACGCGAGCUGGGUUUAGAACGUCGUGAGACAGUUCGGUCCCUAUCCGCUGUGCGCGUAGGAAUAUUGAGAAGGGCUGUCCCUAGUACGAGAGGACCGGGACGGACGAACCUCUGGUGUGCCAGUUGUUCUGCCAAGGGCAUGGCUGGUUGGCUACGUUCGGGAGGGAUAACCGCUGAAAGCAUCUAAGCGGGAAGCCUGCUUCGAGAUGAGUAUUCCCACCUCCUUGAGAGGGUAAGGCUCCCAGUAGACGACUGGGUUGAUAGGCCGGAUAUGGAAGCCCUGUAAGGGGUGGAGUUGACCGGUACUAAUAGGCCGAGGGCUUGUCCUCAGUUG
rnacentral:rRNA from 1 species